GCAGAUUUUCUUUGUAAACUCUCUCCCUUUUCUUCAGAAACAACUAACAUACCGAAACCGAGCAUUUCCUUCUACUUGCUACUAUUUGUAUUCAUCUUUCUAUUUGAUGGCUCGAGGUAAUCAAUCCAACGCGUGUGCUGUGGUUAGAUAUUUCGAGUCGUCACCAAUGGAGGAUUCUGGUAGCCCAUUUUAUCUUCAUAAUGGAAACCAUCCUGGGCUUGUUCUUGUCUCGCACCCUUUGACUGGGGACAAUUACAACACCUAGAGUAGAGCCAUGAUGAUGGCUUUGACGGCAAAGAACAAAGUCGUUUUUGUCGUGGCGUCUUAAUUUCAUUUCUAAAGAAAUGGCGGAUAGUUUGAUGUACAGUGGGACACCUUGUGAGAUCUGGAAUGAUCUGAGGGAUAUUUUUCAAUUAAAGAAACAUCCGAUCGCUUCAUAUAGUUUUUUAUGGGUUUGAACGACUUUUAUGCUUAGACACGUGGUCAAAUUUUGAUGAUGGAGCCUAUUCCACCACUCACGAAAGAACGUCAAAGAACCAUUAAUAAUGGAAUUUCCCCUUUGUCUGAUUCUAUUGUUCUAAGUGAAUCAAAUUUGACUUCGGCUAAUGCUAACACUGGUAAUUUUGCCUCUAAAGGGAAGCGCCAGCGUCCCCAAUGCACUCACUGUGGGCUCCAAGGUCAUUCUAUUCACAAGUGCUAUAAGCUACAUGGAUAUCCACCGGGAUAUAAACCCAAAUUGCAUAAUGCACUAGGUCAUGCUCACACUAAUCAGGCCUCUAUUCUCUCUAAUGACUCAACUCCUUCUGAAUCAAUGUUGGGCAAUCUCUCUUCCACUCAAUGUCAACAGCUUAUAGCCCUAUUGAGUUCCCAGCUACAGUGCAACUCAACUGCCUUAAUGGAAUCACAACCACAGGAAAGUCCUUCUGUGUCUUGUUUUAGUGGACCGUAUGCAAAGGAAGAUGAUUGGGAUGGGUAGAUGCAGUGGCAAUCUCUAUGUUUUGGAUCCUACCAACCUUUUUCCUAUAUCUUCUAGUGUCACAGUUGUUUGUAAUUAUGCCUCAAAGACGGAACACGAGCUUUGGCAUUACCGUCUGUGUCAUCUCUCUUAUAAUAGGCUCAAUUCAUUGAAAGAUGUAUUAAAUCUGAAACAAUUUGUUAGCCACCAUUUUCAUUGUUCAAUUUGUCAUUUAGCUAAACAAAAGAGUUUGUCAUUUCCAAUUUCAAAUACAGUUUCAUCA